AGGUACUGUGCAGAAGGAUUUGGUUACUGCUGAACCUUACUUUCAUACUAUAGAAGAGAAGAACAGUUGGAUCUGUAAGAUUUGUAGUAUGUUCCUGGCUGAUUUGGCUCAACUGUUAGAGUAUAGGCCUGUGGAUCAAAGGGUCUCAAGUUCAAUUAUCAGUCAAGGGCCCCCACCAAAAAAGGAAAAAUAUUUUCAGUUGGGACAGUUCUAGUUCACAUAUUGGUAUUCCUGUGUGUAAGAGAACUACAUGUCUGUGACAGCCUGAAAACCGCACGUACACUGGAGAACUAACUUGAAGCCUUCAUUUUUCUGACAAAAGGUAGUUUCAAUGUCUUAUGUUACAGAAGCAGGUAAAUAUUUAAUUCAGUGUAAUUGAGUACCUGUUAUGUGCAGGGUGUUUUAUACACUUUACUCCAAGUCUCGUGAUAACCUGAAGAGGUAUAAGUUUAACUUUUUGAGAAGCUGCCAAACUUUGCUGAGGUGGGUGAAUCAUUUCAAAUUUCUGCCAGCAGUGGAAAUGAACAUUUCUACAUCCUCACCAUUUGGUAUGAUCAGUCCUUUUAGUUUUAGGCAUUCUAAUAGUUGUGUAGUAGUAUCUCUUUACAGUUUUAUUUUAUAUUUCCCUAACAACUAAUGCUGCUGAACAUCUUUUUAUGUGCUUAUU